rnacentral:rRNA from 1 species
GUGCACCAGUCGAGAAACUCCGCAAUGCUCGAAAGAGUGACGGGGGAUUCCAAGUGCCUACGCUUAGCGUAGGCUGUUCAGAUGCCUAAAAAGCAUCUGGAGUAAGGGCUGGGUAAGACGGGUGCCAUCUGCAGUGGUAAUGAAAAACUUGCUACUGCAAGGCAUAAGCCGCCGCGGUAAUACCCGCAGCCCGAGUGGUAGUCGCUUUUAUUGGGCCUAAAGCGUCCGUAGCCGGUCUGGUAAAUGCCUGGGUAAAUCGUGGGGCCUAACCUCACGAAUUCCGGGUAGACUGCCAGACUUGGGACCGGUUGAGGGAGAGGGUACUCCAGGGUAGGGGUGAAAUCCUGUAAUCCUUGGAGGACCACCGGUGGCGAAAGCGCUCUCCUAGGACGGGUCCGACGGUGAGGGACGAAAGCCAGGGGAGCAAACGGAUUAGAUACCCUGUAGU